UACGGGGGGGGCAAGCGUUGUUCGGAAUUACUGGGCGUAAAGAGCGCGCAGGCGGUCGUACAAGUCGCGUGUGAAAGCCCCCGGCUCAACUGGGGAGGGUCACGCGAUACUGUUCGACUCGAAGGCAGGAGAGGGAAGCGGAAUUCCCGGUGUAGUGGUGAAAUGCGUAGAUAUCGGGAGGAACACCAGUGGCGAAGGCGGCUUCCUGGCCUGUUCUUGACGCUGAGGCGCGAAAGCUAGGGUAGCAAACGGG
rnacentral:rRNA from 1 species